ACAAGCGGAGGAGCAUGUGGUUUAAUUCGAUGAUACGCGAGGAACCUUACCUGGGCCCGAACGUAAGAUGACUGUAGGUGAAAGCUUACAUCUCUUCGGAGCAUUUUACGAGGUGCUGCAUGGUUGUCGUCAGCUCGUGCCGUGAGGUGUCGAGUUAAGUCCCAUAACGAGCGCAACCCCUACCUUUAGUUGCCAUCAGGUUAAGCUGGGGACUCUAAAGGAACUGCCUACGCAAGUAGUGAGGAAGGCGGGGAUGACGUCAAAUCAGCACGGCCCUUACGUCCAGGGCUACACACGUGCUACAAUGGCCGAUACAGAGGGCAGCUACCUGGUGACAGGAUGCAAAUCUCCAAAGUCGGUCUCAGUUCGGAUCGGAGUCUGCAACCCGACUCCGUGAAGUUGGAUUCGCUAGUAAUCGCGCAUCAGCCAUGGCGCGGUGAAUACGUUCCCGGGCCUU
rnacentral:rRNA from 1 species